rnacentral:lncRNA from 1 species
CUCUUAUGGGAUAAGAGAAAAAGAACCACUGAGAUACUUAUCCUUGUACACAUUUGAUGUGUGGAGCCCAUAUGAUGUGCUAACCAAGGAGUUGUCUCUACUUCGUUACCUUUAUCGAUGAUAAGUCAUGGUAUGGAUAUGUAUAUGAGAUAUGGCAUAUUUUCAUAUUGGAUGCCUCUUAGUAAAUCUCAGCCCCAUA